UACGGAGGGGGCUAGCGUUGUUCGGAAUUACUGGGCGUAAAGCGCACGUAGGCGGCUUUGUAAGUUAGAGGUGAAAGCCCAGGGCUCAACCCUGGAAUUGCCUUUAAAACUGCAUCGCUUGAAUCAUGGAGAGGUGAGUGGAAUUCCGAGUGUAGAGGUGAAAUUCGUAGAUAUUCGGAAGAACACCAGUGGCGAAGGCGACUCACUGGACAUGUAUUGACGCUGAGGUGCGAAAGCGUGGGGAGCAAACAGG
rnacentral:rRNA from 1 species